rnacentral:rRNA from 1 species
GACAAUGGGGCGAAAGCCUGAUGGAGCACGCCGCGUGUGUGAUGAAGGGUUUCGGCUCGUAAAACACUGUUGUAAGAGAAGAAUGACAUUGAGAGUAACUGUUCAAUGUGUGACGGUAUCUUACCAGAAAGGAACGGCUAAAUACGUGCCAGCAGCCGCGGUAAUACGUAUGUUCCAAGCGUUAUCCGGAUUUAUUGGGCGUAAAGCGAGCGCAGACGGUUAUUUAAGUCUGAAGUGAAAGCCCUCAGCUCAACUGAGGAAUUGCUUUGGAAACUGGAUGACUUGAGUGCAGUAGAGGAAAGUGGAACUCCAUGUGUAGCGGUGAAAUGCGUAGAUAUAUGGAAGAACACCAGUGGCGAAGGCGGCUUUCUGGACUGUAACUGACGUUGAGGCUCGAAAGUGUGGGUAGCAAACAGGAUUAGAUACCCUGGUAGUCCACACCGUAAACGAUGAGUGCUAGGUGUUUGAGGGUUUCCGCCCUUAAGUGCCGCAGCUAACGCAUUAAGCACUCCGCCUGGGGAGUACGACCGCAAGGUUGAAACUCAAAGGAAUUGACGGGGACCCGCACAAGCGGUGGAGCAUGUGGUUUAAUUCGAAGCAACGCGAAGAACCUUACCAGGUCUUGACAUCCCUUGACAACUCCAGAGAUGGAGCGUUCCCUUCGGGGACAAGGUGACAGGUGGUGCAUGGUUGUCGUCAGCUCGUGUCGUGAGAUGUUGGGUAAGUCCCGCAACGAGCGCAACCCUUAUUACUAGUUGCCAGCAUUUAGUUGGGCACUCUAGUGAGACUGCCGGUGACAACCGGAGGAAGGUGGGGAUGACGUCAAAUCAUCAUGCCCCUUAUGACCUGGGCUACACACGUGCUACAAUGGCGUAUACAACGAGUUGCCAACCCGCGAGGGUGAGCUAAUCUCUUAAGAACGUCUCAUUUCGGAUUUGUAGGCUGCAACUCGCCUUCAUUAAAGUCCGGAAUCCGCUAGUAAAUCCACGGAUCAGCACGACCCGGUGGAAUAUCGUAUCCCCGGGUCCUUGGAACACCUACGGCCCGUCAACACCAUAUAGAAUUUAGGUAACACCUAGAGCUCCGAUGAGGGGGUAUACCUUCGGAUAGGCAAGUCGUCCUAAGGGUGUGACAGAUCGACUAAGGGUAGAAAGUCUAUACC